CUGCGGAGGGAUCAUUACUGAGUUACCGCUCUAUAACCCUUUGUGAACAUACAUACAACUGUUGCUUCGGCGGGUAGGCCGUCCCCUGAAAAGGACGCCUCCCGGCCGGGACCGGACCCCCCGUGGGGCCGGACCCGGCGCCCGCCGGAGGAUAACCAAACGCUAUUUUAACGACGUUUCUUCUGAGUGGCAUAAGCAAAAUAAUCAAAACUUUUAACAACGGAUCUCUUGGUUCUGGCAUCGAUGAAGAACGCAGCGAAAUGCGAUAAGUAAUGUGAAUUGCAGAAUUCAGUGAAUCAUCGAAUCUUUGAACGCACAUUGCGCCCGCCAGCAUUCUGGCGGGCAUGCCUGUUCGAGCGUCAUUUCAACCCUCAAGCUCUGCUUGGUGUUGGGGCUCUACGGUCAACGUAGGCCCUCAAAGGUAGUGGCGGACCCUCCCGGAGCCUCCUUUGCGUAGUAACAUUUCGUCUCGCACUGGGAUCCGGAGGGACUCUUGCCGUAAAACCCCCCAAUUUUUCAAGGUUGACCUCGGAUCAGGUAGGAAUACCCGCUGAACUUAAGCAUAUCAU
rnacentral:rRNA from 1 species